rnacentral:rRNA from 1 species
GAUGAACGCUGGCGGCGUGCUUAACACAUGCAAGUCGAACGAAGCACCUUAUUCUGAUUUCUUCGGAAUGAAAAAUUUGGUGACUGAGUGGCGGACGGGUGAGUAACGCGUGGGUAACCUGCCUCAUACAGGGGGAUAACAGUUAGAAAUGACUGCUAAUACCGCAUAAGACCACAGUACCGCAUGGUAGAGGGGUAAAAACUCCGGUGGUAUGAGAUGGACCCGCGUCUGAUUAGGUAGUUGGUGGGGUAACGGCCUACCAAGCCGACGAUCAGUAGCCGACCUGAGAGGGUGACCGGCCACAUUGGGACUGAGACACGGCCCAAACUCCUACGGGAGGCAGCAGUGGGGAAUAUUGCACAAUGGGGGAAACCCUGAUGCAGCGACGCCGCGUGAGCGAUGAAGUAUUUCGGUAUGUAAAGCUCUAUCAGCAGGGAAGAAAAUGACGGUACCUGACUAGGAAGCACCGGCUAAAUACGUGCCAGCCGCCGCAGUAA